UUUGCUUCUUAGAAAAUGGAGAAAGUUGUGCAUCCUCCCUCAUUUUGGGAAAAAAAAGGCAAGAACAAAGGAACAUGGUCAUUUUCUGCUUUCUGCGUUUCUGAUUCCACUUUUUUUUGAACUGGAGUGUUGGCUAAUGUCUGAGUAGGCAAGCAGAGUGCCUGCAUGUACGCAGUUGGCGGCAAUGGGCAUGCGCAGUGAGGACUUGGUCAAGGUGGUCUGCUGAAAGGCCGUCUUCUGAGUAAGCUGCGUCUGAGGUUAGGAGGACUUUCCUUAUACAAACCAUGGUUUUAGCCUCCUGGCCAGCUUCUUGACUAAACGAGGCAAAAUUGACAUAGAAACAGUGUUCCUCUGUGGCAAUGCUCACCUCUCCAGCGCCCUGCCUUGCUGCACAUUCCUCACUGGUCUAUCAGAGGGGUACUUGACGCUGUCCUCUGACUGCUCUGAUGGUCCCAUCUCCCCUCUCAGUGUCAGCCCUUCCCGCCGUGCUGCCUGUGCCCUGCUGCCUAGUCCCGCCUGAAGAGGGGAGAAGGUCGUA